UACGAAGGGGGCUAGCGUUGUUCGGAUUUACUGGGCGUAAAGCGCACGUAGGCGGAUCGUUAAGUCGGGGGUGAAAUCCUGGAGCUCAACUCCAGAACUGCCUUCGAUACUGGCGAUCUCGAGUCCGGAAGAGGUGAGUGGAACUCCUAGUGUAGAGGUAGAAUUCGUAGAUAUUAGGAAGAACACCAGUGGCGAAGGCGGCUCACUGGUCCGGUACUGACGCUGAGGUGCGAAAGCGUGGGGAGCAAACAGGGAUUA
rnacentral:rRNA from 1 species